UGAGCAAUCCGCCCUUCUCUUCGGAAUAAGCGUUGGAAACGACGUCUAAUGCCGAAUACGACCUCCUUUCGCAUGAUCGGAGGUGGAAAGCUCCGGCGGAGAAGGAUGAGCUCGCGGCCUAUCAGCUAGUUGGUGUGGGUAAUGGCCCACAAGGCGACGACGGGUAGCCGGCCUGAGAGGGUGACCGGCCACACUGGGACUGAGACACGGCCCAGACCUCCGUACGGGGAGGCCGAG
rnacentral:rRNA from 1 species